AUGAAAAUAAUCGCCAGCAGUCCCUGAAAAUGCGCCAAAAACUUACAUGGAAUACCAAUUCUUGUGAGCAUCGAGCUGGCAGUCCUUCGCCAGUAUAAUGAAAGAAAUAGAAAGGAAAUGGCAGUAAGGAAACAGGAAAGGGCAAACAAGAAGUAAGAGGAGUGACAGAACAGGAAAUAACAUUGGAGCCAGCAUCUAUGUAAAGGAAACCUGUUUCUUCAUGUUCUAUUCAGAGGUCACUUGGGGACAGUUGGUUGUAUAGGGAUUUUCCUUUACAGGGAACAAUCCUAACUCCUGUAUGAUAUAUUUUUGACAGGGUUUCAUCAUGAUGAAGAACAGGUGAUAACAACUAUCAUCUGACAACCUGGCUACUGACUCCUUAUUUGAACCCAACCACAGAACCUGAGACAAGACAUAAUCGAGCACACAGGAAGAUAUGUUUAAAUUGGCUUUUUGGAGUGCUUAAGAGUUGCUUCAGAUACUUAGAUGUGACAGGGGGAGCUUAACUAUACAAGCAUGAACUUUUUUGUGAAAUUAUUGUUGUGUGUUGUGUCUGUCACAAUGUGGUUAAUGCACAUUCGAUACCUAUAGAAUUAGCAGAUGACCUCUGUGAACACAUUUCUUUUCAGAGGCUGUAGGGACUUGAGACAAGCAAUGCUGGAAUUGCUUUGCGUUAGCCCAACAUUUUUUUUUGAAUAAUUCAAAGGAGGACGAGAGAGCUCAUCCUCCUCCUAUUCUAUAAUUUUUUCUAUCUGCUAUUCUGUUUUUUUUUAUACAUCACAUACAUAAAUUUUAUUUUGCAUGUUAAUGCUUGAAAACUAGUCUGCCCCAUUGUCGUUGUCCUAGCCUAAGAAACAGAUACACUGUCCACUUCAUGUCAUUGCCAAUGUAUUUCUAACUUCACAAAAUUACAAAUACUUUGACAUGUUUAAAACAUGGAUCAUUUUCUAAAUGACAAAGAUUGUUUUAAGGCUAGCCUGAUUGGAUUACUAACACUUCUUUGAAAAAAAUUGUGUUGUGUGUAGCUUCUUACAUACAUUAAAAUGUAGAAUGACGUUUUUAAAUUCAAAACAUAAAUUUAAAAAAAUAGGAAAGUGUUUUGACAUGUGUGAGA